rnacentral:rRNA from 1 species
GACAGAGGGUGCAAACGUUGUUCGGAAUUACUGGGCGUAAAGCGCGUGUAGGCUGCUCAGAAAGUCGGAUGUGAAAGCCCUGGGCUUAACCUAGGAAGUGCAUUCGAAACUUCUGAGCUUGAGUUCUGGAGAGGAAGGCGGAAUUCCAGGUGUAGCGGUGAAAUGCGUAGAUAUCUGGAGGAACACCGGUGGCGAAGGCGGCAUCCUGGACCGAGAUUGACGCUGAGGCGCGAAAGCUAGGGGAGCAAACGGG